UACUGAAAUUAGUCUAAAUGAUGUAUUUUUCAAUGAUCUUGAUUGCAAAUAAAUGGUUCUAAACAUAUGAUAUUAUUUUGAUAUUAAAAAGAUUUAUGGUGCUUCAUAUAUACAUUGCUGAAAAACUAUGAUUAAAAAAUUAAUAUUUUGAAUAUACACUCCUACAUAAUUAAAUGCUUCUAUCAUUAAAAAGAAAAGCUAUUUUUUAAGAAGAGAGUUAAUGAUCCUAAAGCUUAGAAUAUUUCAACUCACUUCAAUAAUUCUUAUAGGAAAGAAAAUGUAAUUACUUUUGAAAGAAAUUUGAGCUUCAAAAGAAUUAUUUUCUGAUUAAUAUCUCCAUACAUAUUCAAAAAAAAAUAAGAGGAAAUAUAAUUUAUUCUUGAAAGAUUAAAAAGAGUGAUUGCUAUAAAUUUUGAAAAAUUCUAGAUCACUCUACAUUCUUGAUAUUAUAGAAGAACAAAAAAAAAGGUUUGAAAGAAAAU
rnacentral:lncRNA from 1 species